UGGGGAAUAUUGCACAAUGGGCGCAAGCCUGAUGCAGCCAUGCCGCGUGUAUGAAGAAGGCCUUCGGGUUGUAAAGUACUUUCAGCGGGGAGGAAGGGAGUAAAGUUAAUACCUUUGCUCAUUGACGUUACCCGCAGAAGAAGCACCGGCUAACUCCGUGCCAGCAGCCGCGGUAAUACGGAGGGUGCAAGCGUUAAUCGGAAUUACUGGGCGUAAAGCGCACGCAGGCGGUUUGUUAAGUCAGAUGUGAAAUCCCCGGGCUCAACCUGGGAACUGCAUCUGAUAAUGGCAAGCUUGAGUCUCGUAGAGGGGGGUAGAAUUCCAGGUGUAGCGGUGAAAUGCGUAGAGAUCUGGGGGAAUACCGGUGGCGAAGGCGGCCCCCUGGACGAAGACUGACGCUCAGGUGCGAAAGCGUGGGGAGCAAACAGG
rnacentral:rRNA from 1 species